GCCUCUCUAGCUCAGCGAGAAGAGCACGCGGUUGAAGCCCGCGGGGUCGCAGGUUCGAGUCCUGCGGGAGGCA
rnacentral:tRNA from 1 species